rnacentral:lncRNA from 1 species
AACUCACCCAGCGCAUCCGACUGCACGGACAAUGCUGAGGAGACCCCCCUGACUCAAAGGAAAUAGACUGCAGCACUGAUUGGAUGACUUUGGAAUGAAAAAAAGUAGUUUUCCUUUACAAUGAGGCUUGGCCCCCAGGGCGAUGGUGCCACAAGCCAGAUCACUGGGACCACUCAGAGAAAGGGAACACAGAAGCCUGGCAUGCCAGCAAAAAGCAGGGUUUUUGUGAGCAGUGUCUUGCACCAAACUCCUGUCUCCUCCUGUGACUUAGAAUGCCUAACUUCCUGGGAAUGCAGCACAGGUCUCAGCCUCAUUUUGCCCAGCCCCUAUUCAAGACGGAUUUGCUGUGGUUCAAAUGCUUCUGACAAUAUUCCUCAUGGUGAAUGCUGGAUUUUGCAUGCCCGAGGCCCUGGGCCACACUGUAUGUUUGCUUUUUGCAAGGGCUGUAUGGCUAUGACUAGUUAUGUGGACCCUGCAUUCCUAUGUAAAUGACCCUCCAUAAAAACCCCAGAAAUGAAUGCUUGAGUGAACUUCCCUGGCUUGUAUUAUAAUACUGUGAACAUCUUGUCACACAUCUUUGCUGGGGGAAUUAAGUGUGUCCCUAUGUGACCGUAAUGGGAGAUAACACCCAGAGUUUUGUGCCUGCUUUCAUGUGGACUUCAUUCUAUGUGAUUUUUCCCUUUGGUGAUCCUGGUCUAUAUCCUUUUA